UACGUAGGGGGCUAGCGUUGUCCGGAAUCAUUGGGCGUAAAGAGCGUGUAGGCGGUCCGGUAAGUCCGCUGUGAAAGUCGGGGGCUCAACCCUCGAAUGCCGGUUGAUACUGUCGGGCUAGAGUCCGGAAGAGGCGAGUGGAAUUCCCGGUGUAGCGGUGAAAUGCGCAGAUAUCAGGAGGAACACCGGUGGCGAAGGCGGGUCUCUGGGCCGAUACUGACGCUGAGGAGCGAAAGCGUGGGGAGCAAACAGG
rnacentral:rRNA from 1 species